rnacentral:rRNA from 1 species
AGACGUAGGGUGCGAGCGUUAAUCGGAAUUACUGGGCGUAAAGCGUACGUAGGCGGUUGGUUAAGUUAGAUGUGAAAGCCCCGGGCUUAACCUGGGAACUGCAUUUAAAACUGGCGAACUAGAGUUGAGUAGAGGGGAGUGGAAUUUCAGGUGUAGCGGUGAAAUGCGUAGAGAUCUGAAGGAACACCAGUGGCGAAGGCGACUCCCUGGACUCGAACUGACGCUGAGGUACGAAAGCGUGGGUAGCAAACGGGAUUAGAAACCCUAGUAGUCC